rnacentral:rRNA from 1 species
UACAGAGGUCCCAAGCGUUGUUCGGAUUCAUUGGGCGUAAAGGGUGCGUAGGCGGCGCGGUAAGUCGGGUGUGAAAUCCUCCGGCUCAACCGGAGAACGGCCCCGGGUACGGGCGGCCUUGAGGGGGGUAGGGGCGUGCGGAACUGUGGGUGGAGCGGUGAAAUGCGUUGAUAUCCACAGGAACUCCGGUGGCGAAGGCGGCACGCUGGACCCCCACUGACGCUGAGGCGCGAAAGCCAGGGGAGCGAACGGG